rnacentral:lncRNA from 1 species
UCUCUUAAGGGGUGUGUAAAACCCAUAAAAACAAUAAUGUGCUGGAGGGAACAGUAAUUUUAUUGUUAGCGUAUGGUAAAUCUUCGUAUGUUUUUCAAUUUAUUUGUACUGAAUUCUUGAUGUUUCCAUGUUGGAGAUAUAUGAAGUUUAACCCUGCAAAAUAUUAUGCAUGUGGUAAAUAUUAUAACAGAACUAGGAUAUUUUGGCUGAUUGGCUUAUCCCUCGGAGAAAUGAAUACUACAAAGCUCCAUAUCUAUGUUGUUAAUCAAGUCGCAAUGCAUCUAAUUAAAU